GGGUAGGCGUAGGCGGCUGAUUAAGUCAGCGGUGAAAGGUAGCAGCUUAACUGUUUUACAUGCCGUUGAUACUGGUUAGCUUGAGUUGACAGAAGGCAGAUAGAAUUCCUGGUGUAGCGGUGAAAUGCUUAGAUACCAGGAGGAAUACCGAUUGCGAAGGCAGUCUGCUGCAGUCACACUGACGCUGAGGCUCGAAGGUGCGGGGAUCAAACAGGAUUAGAUACCCCGGU
rnacentral:rRNA from 1 species